rnacentral:rRNA from 1 species
CUGCGAAUGGCUCAUUAAAUCAGUUAUCGUUUAUUUGAUAGUACCUUACCACUUGGAUAACCGUGGUAAUUCUAGAGCUAAUACAUGCUAAAAACCUCGACUUCGGAAGGGGUGUGUUUAUUAGAUAAAAAACCAAUGCCCUUCGGGGCUCUUUGGUGAUUCAUGAUAACCUAACGGAUCGCAUGGCCUUGCGCUGGCGACGGUUCAUUCAAAUUUCUGCCCUAUCAACUUUCGAUGGUAAGGUAUUGGCUUACCAUGGUUUCAACGGGUAACGGGGAAUUAGGGUUCGAUUCCGGAGAGGGAGCCUGAGAAACGGCUACCACAUCCAAGGAAGGCAGCAGGCGCGCAAAUUACCCAAUCCCGACACGGGGAGGUAGUGACAAUAAAUACUGAUACAGGGCUCUUUUGGGUCUUGUAAUUGGAAUGAGUACAAUUUAAACCCCUUAACGAGGAACAAUUGGAGGGCAAGUCUGGUGCCAGCAGCCGCGGUAAUUCCAGCUCCAAUAGCGUAUAUUAAAGUUGUUGCAGUUAAAAAGCUCGUAGUUGAAACUUGGGUCUGGCUAGCGGGUCCGCCUCACCGCGUGCACUUGUCCGGCUGGACCUUUCCUUCUGGAGAACCUCAUGCCCUUCACUGGGUGUGUUGGGGAACCAGGACUUUUACUUUGAAAAAAUUAGAGUGUUCAAAGCAGGCCUUUGCUCGAAUACGUUAGCAUGGAAUAAUAGAAUAGGACGUGCGGUCCUAUUUUGUUGGUUUCUAGGAUCGCCGUAAUGAUUAAUAGGGAUAGUCGGGGGCAUCAGUAUUCAAUUGUCAGAGGUGAAAUUCUUGGAUUUAUUGAAGACUAACUACUGCGAAAGCAUUUGCCAAGGAUGUUUUCAUUAAUCAGUGAACGAAAGUUGGGGGAUCGAAGACGAUCAGAUACCGUCGUAGUCUCAACCGUAAACUAUGCCGACUAGGGAUCGGGCGAUGUUUCUAUCUUGACUCGCUCGGCACCUUACGAGAAAUCAAAG